rnacentral:tRNA from 1 species
AUCCCUUUAGUAUAAAUAAUAUAUUUGACUUCCAAUCAAAAGACCUUAAUGUAAGAAGGGAUA